rnacentral:rRNA from 1 species
AUUGUGUGAAUACAUAGCACAUUCGAGGUAGACGCAGAGAACUGAAACAUCUAAGUACCUGCAGGAAGAGAAAGAAAAUUCGAUUCCCUGAGUAGCGGCGAGCGAAACGGGAAAAGCCCAAACCAGCAAGCUUGCUUGUUGGGGUUGUAGGACUCCAAUAUGGUAGUUCUUUCAGAUAGUCGAAUGACUUGGAAAAGUCAGUCAAAGAGGGUAAAAACCCCGUAGACGAAAUGUGGAAGACACCUAGGAGGAUCCUGAGUACGGCGGAACACGAGAAAUUCCGUCGGAAUCCGGGAGGACCAUCUCCCAAGGCUAAAUACUCCCUAGUGACCGAUAGUGAACCAGUACCGUGAGGGAAAGGUGAAAAGCACCCCGGAAGGGGAGUGAAAUAGAACCUGAAACCGUGUGCCUACAACAAGUCAAAGCCCGUUAAUGGGUGAUGGCGUGCCUUUUGUAGAAUGAACCGGCGAGUUACGAUUGCAUGCGAGGUUAAGUUGAAGAGACGGAGCCGCAGCGAAAGCGAGUCUGAAUAGGGCGUUUGAGUAUGUAGUCGUAGACCCGAAACCAUGUGAUCUACCCAUGUCCAGG